UACAGAGGUGGCAAGCGUUGUUCGGAAUUACUGGGCGUAAAGGGCGCGUAGGCGGUUCGGUAAGUCCCGUGUGAAAUCCCUCGGCUCAACUGAGGAACUGCACGGGAGACUGCCGGGCUUGAGUUCGGGAGAGGGAAGCGGAAUUCCGGGUGUAGCGGUGAAAUGCGUAGAUAUCUGGAGGAACACCGGUGGCGAAGGCGGCAUCCUGGACCGGCAUUGACGCUGAGGCGCGAAAGCCAGGGGAGCAAACGGG
rnacentral:rRNA from 1 species